rnacentral:rRNA from 1 species
UACAGAGGGGGGCAAGCGUUGUUCGGAAUUACUGGGCGUAAAGGGCGCGUAGGCGCCUUCUAAGUCGAACGUGAAAUCCCCGGGCUCAACCCGGGAACUGCGUCCGAUACUGGAAGGCUUGAAUCCGGGAGAGGGAUGUGGAAUUCCAGGUGUAGCGGUGAAAUGCGUAGAUAUCUGGAGGAACACCGGUGGCGAAGGCGACAUCCUGGACCGGUAUUGACGCUGAGG